rnacentral:rRNA from 1 species
UACGGAGGGUGCAAGCGUUGUUCAGAUUUACUGGGCGUAAAGCGCGCGCAGGUGGAUGAACAAGUCGGAAGUGAAAUCUUGAGGCUCAACCUCGAGGCUGCUCCCGAAACUGUUCGUCUAGGGACUGGUAGAGGCUGGUAGAAUUCCCGGUGUAGCGGUGGAAUGCGUAGAGAUCGGGAAGAACAUCGGUGGCGAAGGCGCUCUGCUGGACCAUAACUGACACUCAGGGACGAAAGCUAGGGGAGCGAAUGGG